rnacentral:rRNA from 1 species
UACGUAGGUGGCAAGCGUUGUCCGGAAUUAUUGGGCGUAAAGCGCGCGCAGGCGGUCCUUUAAGUCUGAUGUGAAAGCCCACGGCUCAACCGUGGAGGGUCAUUGGAAACCAUCAGGCUAGAGUCCGGAAGAGGAGAGUGGAAUUCCUGGUGUAGCGGUGAAAUGCGCAGAUAUCAGGAAGAACACCCGUGGCUAAGGCGGCUCUCUAGUACGGUACUGACGCUGAGACGCGAAAGCGUGGGGAGCGAACAGG